rnacentral:snRNA from 1 species
GAACUUACCUGGCAGGGAAGAUACCAUGAUCAUGAAGGUGGCUUUCCCAGGGCGAGGCUUAUCCACUGCACCCCAGAUGUGCUGACCCCUGCGAUUUCCCAAAUGUGGGAAACUUGACUGCGUUACUUGUGGUAGUGGGGGACUGCGUUCGCACUUUCCCCUA